rnacentral:rRNA from 1 species
UACAGAGGUGGCAAGCGUUGUUCGGAAUUACUGGGCGUAAAGGGCGCGUAGGCGGCCUUCUAAGUCAGACGUGAAAUCCCCCGGCUUAACCUGGGAACUGCGUCUGAUACUGGGAGGCUUGAGUAUGGGAGAGGGAUGUAGAAUUCCAGGUGUAGCGGUGAAAUGCGUAGAUAUCUGGAGGAAUACCGGUGGCGAAGGCGGCAUCCUGGACCAUUACUGACGCUGAUGCGCGAAAGCCAGGGGAGCAAACGGG